UACAUGGGGUGCAAACGUUGCUCGGAAUCAUUGGGCGUAAAGCGCACGUAGGCGGUUCGUUAUGUCGGAUGUGAAAGCCCUCGGCUUAACCGGGGAAGUGCAUCCGAAACUGGCGAGCUUGAGUACUAAAGAGGGUCGCGGAAUUCCCGGUGUAGAGGUGAAAUUCGUAGAUAUCGGGAGGAACACCAAUGGCGAAGGCAGCUCGCUGGGACGGUACUGACGCUGAGACGCGAAAGCGUGGGGAGCAAACAGG
rnacentral:rRNA from 1 species